CCCAGGCUGGGGUGGGCACACGUGAGGUUUUCAGAUUGCUGACUCAGGCCCUUCUAACCACCCCUUCCCCAAGAUUCAAUUUCCCCAAGGGGCAAGACCCUCCCCAAACUCGCUAGUCCUCAUCCAGGGUCUGGGAGUGGCGUUCUGAUGACUGGGGUUCAUGUCUCUCUGAGCCUUUGAGCAGGCAGGAAGGUUAGACUCGAGGAAGAAAUUACAGCCCAAGCAAGGAAGGGACUCUGCCUCAGAUGAUCUCUUUGGAAGUCUUCCUGGGUUCCUUAAAGAAAGAUGGCAGGUUCAGGGGCUUUAGAUCUUGAGCAGCAGCAGGGCGAAUGGGAGAAUCAGGAAGAACUCGGGUUUUUCCAGUUUCCAAACUCACUGGGAGUCAAGGCAUGAGACCAAGUACAAGCUGGACUUGGCAAUAUGUCCAGGGUAGUGGGAG
rnacentral:lncRNA from 1 species